UUCAAUUUGAAACCCAAUUAGUUGAUUUAGAUUCGUUUUGUCAGUCUUUGAGAGAUCGUCAUCGAAUCAUUUCGCUAUGCGUUUUUCAAACGAUGUGUGCUAAUCCUUUGAUGUUGGCUGUCCAUUGCAAUCAUUGUCCAAAAUUUGGCUCGUUGCAUUUCGUUUCGGUGCGAUUCAGAGGGUUCUCUAGCAUUUCCAGCUAAAGUUCCCGAGUAUCGAGAAGAAAUGUGCCAAUUUUUCAUGUUGUACAUGAUCGCUCGAGGAGAAAAAAGCUUCAUCACUAAGGAUUGCUAUCAAACAUCGUCAAUAAGUCAAAU
rnacentral:misc_RNA from 1 species